rnacentral:rRNA from 1 species
UACGGAAGGCAGCAGUGGGGAAUAUUGCACAAUGGGCGAAAGCCUGAUGCAGCUAUGCCGCGUGUAUGAAGAAGGCCUUAGGGUUGUAAAGUACUUUCAUCGGGGAGGAAAAAACAAAACUAAUAAUUUUAUUUCUUGACGUUACCCGAAAAAGAAGCACCGGCUAACUCCGUGCCAGCAGCCGCGGUAAUACGGAGGGUGCUAGCGUUAAUCAGAAUUACUGGGCGUAAAGAGCACGUAGGUGGUUUUUUUAAGUCAGAUGUGAAAUCCCUGGGCUUAACCUAGGAACUGCAUUUUGAAACUGAAAUACUAGAGUAUCGUAGAGGGAGGUAGAAUUCUAGGUGUAGCGGUGAAAUGCGUAGAUAUCUGGAGGAAUACCUGUGGCGAAAGCGGCCUCCUAAACGAAUACUGACACUGAGGUGCGAAAGCGUGGGGAGCAAACAGGGAUUAGAUA